rnacentral:rRNA from 1 species
UACAGAGGCCCCGAGCGUUAAUCGGAAUCACUGGGCUUAAAGGGUGCGUAGGCGGGUCAGUAAGCGCUUUGUGAAAUCCCACAGCUCAACUGUGGAACCGCAGGGCGAACUGCUGAUCUUGAGGAAGCUAGAGGCUGGUAGAACGAUAGGUGGAGCGGUGGAAUGCGUAGAGACCUAUCGGAAUGCCGAAAGUGAAGACAGCCAGCUGGGGCUUUCCUGACGCUAAAGCACGAAAGCGUGGGGAGCAAACCGG